CAAAGAUUUAUCGCUCGAAGAUGGGCUCGCGUCCGAUUAGGUAGUUGGUGAGGUAACGGCCCACCAAGCCGACGAUCGGUAGCCGGACUGAGAGGUUGAACGGCCACAUUGGGACUGAGACACGGCCCAGACUCCUACGGGAGGCAGCAGUGGGGGAUAUUGCACAAUGGGGGAAACCCUGAUGCAGCGACGCCGCGUGUGGGAAGACGGUCUUCUGGAUUGUAAACCACUGUCCCCAGGGACGAAAAUGACGGUACCUGGGGAGGAAGCUCCGGCUAACUACGUGCCAGCAGCCGCGGUAAUACGUAGGGAGCAAGCGUUGUCCGGAAUUACUGGGUGUAAAGGGAGCGUAGGCGGGGAUGCAAGUUGGGUGUCAAAACUACCGGCUCAACCGAUAGUCGCACUCAAAACUGCAGCUCUUGAGUGAAGUAGAGGCAGGCGGAAUUCCUAGUGUAGCGGUGAAAUGCGUAGAUAUUAGGAGGAACACCAGUGGCGAAGGCGGCCUGCUGGGCUUUUACUGACGCUGAGGCUCGAAAGUGUGGGGAGCAAACAGGAUUAGAUACCCUGGUAGUCCACACCGUAAACGAUGAUUACUAGGUGUGGGGGGUCUGACCCCCUCC
rnacentral:rRNA from 1 species